CAGCCGGGGAGAGGCCAGCCUGGCCUACAGUGCGGACACAGGACAGAGGGGAGCCAGGUUCUUUGCACUGACCAAUGCUGAGAGCAGACCCUCGGAGCAGCCGGGUUGGAAGUGUCUCUCCACAGUCACCAGACAGAUCCAGGAUAGGAUGGGCAGCCCAGUGCACCGAGUGUCAUUGGGGGAUACCUGGAGCAGGCAAAUGCACCCCGACAUAGAGAGCGAGAGGUAUAUGCAGUCCUUUGACGUGGAACGGCUCACCAACAUCCUUGAUGGAGGUGCCCAGAACACUGCACUCCGCAGGAAAGUUGAUCCAUGAAGCAAGUGGGUGAGAAGAUUUGAAGGUGCCAGAAACCUCACCCAGGUCCCUAAGCCCUCUGUUCUCUGUCCUCUGCAGAGAGCAUCAUCCACAGUUACCCGGAGUUUAGCUGUAAGGACAAUUAUUUCAUGACCCAGAAUGAGCGUUAUAAGGCUGCCAUGCAGAGGGCAUUCCACAUCCGGUUGAUAGCUCGGCGCCUGGGUUGGUUAGAAGAUGGUCGUGAAUUAGGCUACGCUUACAGGUGCUCACUCCUCGAGCAGCCCCACUAGAGAGGGAUCUACCUGGGAUCACCUGGAAACCCCCUAGCCCCAUGAGCCAUUUCCCCCAACAAAGGGAAGACUUGUUGGGAAACCAGGAUGCUAGGUGCCCUUUAUCUCCUGUACUCUGCUCAGGCAGGGGGUACCUGGGCCCCUGUCUCCAAUAAGCUACUCAACUACAGCAUCUCUCCCCAACAGAGCCCUUUCUGGAGACGUGGCCUUAAAU
rnacentral:sRNA from 1 species